rnacentral:rRNA from 1 species
ACUCCUACGGGAGGCAGCAGUGGGGAAUAUUGCACAAUGGGGGAAACCCUGAUGCAGCCAUGCCGCGUGUGUGAAGAAGGCCUUCGGGUUGUAAAGCACUUUCAGUAGGGAGGAAAGGUUGUACGUUAAUACCGUGCAGCUGNGACGUUACCUACAGAAGAAGCACCGGCUAACUCCGUGCCAGCAGCCGCGGUAAUACGGAGGGUGCGAGCGUUAAUCGGAAUUACUGGGCGUAAAGCGCAUGCAGGCGGCCUGUUAAGUCAGAUGUGAAAGCCCGGGGCUUAACCUCGGAAUUGCAUUUGAAACUGGCAGGCUAGAGUCUUGUAGAGGGGGUGAGAAUUGAUCAGGUGUAGCGGUGAAAUGCGUAGAGAUCUGAAGGAAUACCGAUGGCGAAGGCAGCCACCU